GACGAACGCUGGCGGCGUGCCUAAUACAUGCAAGUGGGACGCAAGAGAACACACCGUGCUUGCACACCGUGUUUUCUUGAGUCGCGAACGGGUGAGUAACGCGUAGGUAACCUGCCUAUUAGCGGGGGAUAACUAUUGGAAACGAUAGCUAAUACCGCAUAAUAUUAAUUAUUGCAUGAUAAUUGAUUGAAAGAUGCAAGCGCAUCACUAGUAGAUGGACCUGCGUUGUAUUAGCUAGUUGGUAAGGUAAGAGCUUACCAAGGCGACGAUACAUAGCCGACCUGAGAGGGUGAUCGGCCACACUGGGACUGAGACACGGCCCAGACUCCUACGGGAGGCAGCAGUAGGGAAUCUUCGGCAAUGGACGAAAGUCUGACCGAGCAACGCCGCGUGAUGUGAAGAA
rnacentral:rRNA from 1 species